UGUACAGUUCAAAGCUGUCAUAGGGUUUGCACUCCCAUGAGAUCUAAUGCUGUUGCUGUUCUGACAGGAGGUGGAGCUCAGGCAGUAAUGUGAGCAAGGCAGAGAGGCUGGAAAUACA